CCCUUAGAUGUCCUGGGCCGCACGCGCGUUACACUGAUGCAUUCAACGAGCUUAUAAUCUUGGCCGAGAGGCCUGGGCAAUCUUGUUAACGUGCAUCGUGAUAGGGAUAGAUUAUUGAAAUUAUUAAUCUUGAACGAGGAAUUCCUAGUAAACGCAGAUCAUCAAUCUGCAUUGAUUACGUCCCUGCCCUUUGUACACACCGCCCGUCGCACCUACCGAUUGGAUGGUCCGGUGAAGCCUCGGGAUUGUGGUUCUUGCCGCUUUAUUGUGGCGUGACCGCGAGAACUUGUCUAAACCUUCAUCUAGAGGAAGGUGAAGUCGUAACA
rnacentral:rRNA from 1 species